rnacentral:misc_RNA from 1 species
CAUGUUAUUUUUUUCUCAAUUGUAACGUAACCUUAUAAUAUUGAUAACAAUUUUGACCAAUUUAGCAAGAGCUUAAACUAUAGAAUUUAGUAGCUACCUUAAUAGGCAAAAAUUACAAGUUUUUCAUUUUGUUCUGAUGAUGGCAUUGUUAAAAUGUUAGUUGUAUGAUUAUUGCAAUCAUGAGAAAUUGUGUGCUAAAAAUAUGUAAUUUGUUAUGAAAAGUCAACUAACCCGGUAUAUUUGAAUUUACCAUAUUCCUAAAUAUUAGCUCAAUCAUAGGGAGUAUUUUCCUAAAUAACUAAAGAUAAUUGUACAUAAAUUUGUAUCUCUUAUUCUUGAUUAAUACAAGAAAUGCAAUUCCCUCUACAUGGCAUCAAAGCGGUGACUUUCAAGCUUUUUUGUCUACUCUUGUC